rnacentral:rRNA from 1 species
CUUGCUUCUCUUGAGAGCGGCGGACGGGUGAGUAAUGCCUAGGAAUCUGCCUGGUAGUGGGGGAUAACGUUCGGAAACGGACGCUAAUACCGCAUACGUCCUACGGGAGAAAGCAGGGGACCUUCGGGCCUUGCGCUAUCAGAUGAGCCUAGGUCGGAUUAGCUAGUUGGUGGGGUAAUGGCUCACCAAGGCGACGAUCCGUAACUGGUCUGAGAGGGUGAUCAGUCACACUGGAACUGAGACACGGUCCAGACUCCUACGGGAGGCAGCAGUGGGGAAUAUUGGACAAUGGGCGAAAGCCUGAUCCAGCCAUGCCGCGUGUGUGAAGAAGGUCUUCGGAUUGUAAAGCACUUUAAGUUGGGAGGAAGGGUUGUAGAUUAAUACUCUGCAAUUUUGACGUUACCGACAGAAUAAGCACCGGCUAACUCUGUGCCAGCAGCCGCGGUAAUACAGAGGGUGCAAGCGUUAAUCGGAAUUACUGGGCGUAAAGCGCGCGUAGGUGGUUUGUUAAGUUGGAUGUGAAAUCCCCGGGCUCAACCUGGGAACUGCAUUCAAAACUGACUGACUAGAGUAUGGUAGAGGGUGGUGGAAUUUCCUGUGUAGCG